CUAUGAAGCUUGACUGUAGCUUGGAAUUGGGUUCGGGCUCUUCUUGCGCCGCCUAGGUGGGAGGCGUUGAAAGUUUUCUUUCGGGGAAACUGGAGCCAACAGUGAGAGACCACUCUGGAGGAGCUAGAAUUCUAAUGGCGUUCCUUGAAGCAGGACGCUUGACAGUUUCAGGUGGGCAGUUUGACUGGGGCGGUCACCUCCUAAAAGGUAACGGAGGUGUGCAAAGGUUCCCUCARGCUGGACGGAAAUCAGCCGRAGAGUGUAAAGGCAGAAGGGAGCUUGACUGCAAGACUUACAAGUCGAGCAGGGGCGAAAGCCGGCCUUAGUGAUCCGACGGUUCCAUGUGGAAGGGCCGUCGCUCAACGGAUAAAAGUUACUCUAGGGAAACAGG
rnacentral:rRNA from 1 species